rnacentral:lncRNA from 1 species
UUGAUCUUGUUGAAAAGUCUGGGAAAUGAAGAUCUGAUAUGUCACUUUUACCAGCUUCCUCAACUGAGAAAGAAUACAGUGAAACAUGCUGAGAUUGGAAGUGAUAUUGGUGGAAGACAACACUUUGCCGCUUGGAAUUCUCACCUCCACACCAAAGAAGGACUGUUUUUGUCAUUUGCACCAGCUUCUUUCUCCAGGAAAGAUCACAAUGAUGCACUCCAAGGGAAGCAAGAGAAUGAAUUAAAGAAAACUCCAGAGAAUGAGCUGACAACUUACUCCGGUCAGUGGCUCUCCAUGCCUGCCCGUCGUUUCUUGGACACCCUUGCAGAAGAUGACUUCCUGGGAACUCUUCUGAGAGUGAAUGUUAUCAGCAAAUUCCCAAAACAACACCCCUUAGACAAAAGCCUCCUCACCUAUGCAUUGCCUAGGCCACCCACUAAAGGAGAUGGCCACAAAGAGGUGGAUUUGUUGAGUUGGUGCCAUUCCUUCUACUGCCAGCUUCACCAAAACAAUGAUACAGUCUUCCUUAUGCAUGGAGACUCUUCUCUUUCCUGUGUUGCAGUGGAUACCUCCUGCAGAUAAGAAAUGCUUAACUGAGAAAUGCUCAUGUUGGGAUAUCAUCGAUGAGACUUUAAUUGGGGCAUGGUGACUGUUUCCCUUGCUGCCACUUGACUCAAUCCCAGGAGCCUCAGUAGAGGAUAAAAUAUUACACAAGAUGCUCAAAAUGGUGGAAUUGCUCAGUGCUCCCAUAAAUACACAUUUAUAAUUUUCAUUUGCCACAUGGUAAACUGAAAAAUACAGAAUAUAUUAAAAAGAAACUCUGCAUGAUUUUUUUCAAAAAUUCAAAGCAUAUUUAAAUAAUAUAUAAAUUAAAUGCCCUCCUCUCUUCCAAUUCUGUCCCUAUAGUUUUCCUCUAUUAAGUGAACUACAUGCAUUCUUUUAGUGGAUAGUUGCACACAAAUACACAAGCCAUUUUGGGGAAGGAUCCAGCAGUGUGGCCAUAUUGUAACACAUUUUUCUGCAAAUUACCUCUUUCAUUUAACAGCCCUCAUUCAAUGGCCUUUUUCUUUUUCAGUAAUACAUACACAUCUGUGUCAUUUGUUGAAUGACGACAUGAACGUUUUGUAGAUGAAAUAUAAUUAAAUGUUUUAAGCAUUUCUCACUCAUAGAUAUUUAUGUUAGCACCAAAUUUCUGUGCAAUGAACCUCCCUAUAUAUCAGUAAUUUUGCAUUUGUCUAGAAUAUCAGAAUAAAUUACUUAUCAGUUGAAUUACUGGGAUUAAG